rnacentral:rRNA from 1 species
AUCGUAACUCCUACGGGAGGCAGCAGUGGGGAAUUUUGGACAAUGGGGGCAACCCUGAUCCAGCAAUGCCGCGUGAGUGAAGAAGGCCUUCGGGUUGUAAAGCUCUUUUGUCAGGGAAGAAACGGUAGUAGCUAAUAUCUAUUACUAAUGACGGUACCUGAAGAAUAAGCACCGGCUAACUACGUGCCAGCAGCCGCGGGAAUACGUAGGGUGCAAGCGUUAAUCGGAAUUACUGGGCGUAAAGCGUGCGCAGGCGGUUGUGUAAGUCAGAUGUGAAAUCCCCGGGCUCAACCUGGGAAUUGCAUUUGAGACUGCACGGCUAGAGAGUGUCAGAGGGGAGUAGAAUUCCACGUGUAGCAGUGAAAUGCGCAGAUAUGUGGAGGAAUACCGAUGGCGAAGGCAGCCCCCUGGGAAAACACUGACGCUCAUGCACGAAAGAGUGGGAAGAAAACAGGAUUAGAAACCCUUGUAGUCCUAGAGC